rnacentral:rRNA from 1 species
AUUGAACGCUGGCGGCAGGCUUCACACAUGCACGUCGAACGAGUGGCUGAAGGGUGAGUAAUGCUUGGGAAUCUGGCUUAUGGAGGGGGAUAACUACUGGAAACUGUAGCUAAUACCGCGUACCAUAGGAUGAGCCCAAGGGGGAUUAGGUAAUUGGUGAGGUAAAGGCUCACACAGCCGACGCUCUCGAGAUGGUCUGAGAGGAUGACCAGCCACCCUGGGACUGAGACACGGCCCAGACUCCUACGGGAUGCAGCAGUGGGGAAUAUUGCGCAAUGGGGGCAACCUGACGCAGCCAUGCCGCGUGAAUGAAGAAGGCCUUCGGGUUGUAAAGUUCUUUCGGUAGCGAGGCGUUAACUACAGAAGAAGCACCGGCUAACUCCGUGCCAGCAGCCGCGGUAAUUC